ensembl:miRNA Mir700 microRNA 700
UUCACUGGGAGUAAGGCUCCUUCCUGUGCUUGCAGGGGAGAAAUACGAACUGCACGCGGGAACCGAGUCCACCCCCAGU